UACGGGAGGCAGCAGUGGGGAAUAUUGCACAAUGGGCGCAAGCCUGAUGCAGCCAUGCCGCGUGUAUGAAGAAGGCCUUCGGGUUGUAAAGUACUUUCAGUCGUGAGGAAGGUGUUAAGGUUAAUAACCUUAGCAAUUGACGUUAGCGACAGAAGAAGCACCGGCUAACUCCGUGCCAGCAGCCGCGGUAAUACGGAGGGUGCGAGCGUUAAUCGGAAUUACUGGGCGUAAAGGGCACGCAGGCGGUUAAUUAAGUUGGAUGUGAAAUCCCCGGGCUUAACCUGGGAAUGGCAUUCAAGACUGGUUAGCUAGAGUCUUGUAGAGGGGGUUAGAAUUCCAUGUGUAGCGGUGAAAUGCGUAGAGAUGUGGAGGAAUACCGGUGGCGAAGGCGGGCCCCUGGGACAAAGGGACCUGACGCUCAUGUGCGAAAGCGUGGGGAGC
rnacentral:rRNA from 1 species